rnacentral:rRNA from 1 species
UGCAAGUCGAGCGGACAGAUGGGAAGCUUGCUUCCCUGAUGUUAGCGGCGGACGGGUGAGUAACACGUGGGUAACCUGCCUGUAAGACUGGGAUAACUCCGGGAAACCGGGGCUAAUACCGGAUGCUUGUUUGAACCGCAUGGUUCAAACAUAAAAGGUGGCUUCGGCUACCACUUACAGAUGGACCCGCGGCGCAUUAGCUAGUUGGUGAGGUAAUGGCUCACCAAGGCAACGAUGCGUAGCCGACCUGAGAGGGUGAUCGGCCACACUGGGACUGAGACACGGCCCAGACUCCUACGGGAGGCAGCAGUAGGGAAUCUUCCGCAAUGGACGAAAGUCUGACGGAGCAACGCCGCGUGAGUGAUGAAGGUUUUCGGAUCGUAAAGCUCUGUUGUUAGGGAAGAACAAGUACCGUUCGAAUAGGGCGGUACCUUGACGGUACCUAACCAGAAAGCCACGGCUAACUACGUGCCAGCAGCCGCGGUAAUACGUAGGUGGCAAGCGUUGUCCGGAAUUAUUGGGCGUAAAGGGCUCGCAGGCGGUUCCUUAAGUCUGAUGUGAAAGCCCCCGGCUCAACCGGGGAGGGUCAUUGGAAACUGGGGAACUUGAGUGCAGAAGAGGAGAGUGGAAUUCCACGUGUAGCGGUGAAAUGCGUAGAGAUGUGGAGGAACACCAGUGGCGAAGGCGACUCUCUGGUCUGUAACUGACGCUGAGGAGCGAAAGCGUGGGGAGCGAACAGGAUUAGAUACCCUGGUAGUCCACGCCGUAAACGAUGAGUGCUAAGUGUUUAGGGGGUUUCCGCCCCUUAGUGCUGCAGCUAACGCAUUAAGCACUCCGCCUGGGGGAGUACGGUCGCAAGACUGAAACUCAAAGGAAUUGACGGGGGCCCGCACAAGCGGUGGAGCAUGGUGGUUUAAUUCGAAGCAACGCGAAGAACCUUACCAGGUCUUGACAUCCUCUGACAAUCCUAGAAGAUAGGACGUCCCCUUCGGGGGCAGAGUGACAGGUGGUGCAUGGUUGUCGUCAGCUCGUGUCGUGAGAAUGUUUGGGUUAAGUCCCGCAACGAGCGCAACCCUUGAUCUUAGUUGCCAGCAUUCAGUUGGGCAC